AGAACGAACGCUGGCGGCAUGCCUAACACAUGCAAGUCGAACGAGACCUUCGGGUCUAGUGGCGCACGGGUGCGUAACGCGUGGGAAUCUGCCCUUAGGUACGGAAUAACAGUGAGAAAUUACUGCUAAUACCGUAUGAUGUCUUCGGACCAAAGAUUUAUCGCCUAGGGAUGAGCCCGCGUUGGAUUAGCUAGUUGGUGGGGUAAAGGCCUACCAAGGCGACGAUCCAUAGCUGGUCUGAGAGGAUGAUCAGCCACACUGGGACUGAGACACGGCCCAGACUCCUACGGGAGGCAGCAGUGGGGAAUAUUGGACAAUGGGCGAAAGCCUGAUCCAGCAAUGCCGCGUGAGUGAAGAAGGCCUUCGGGUUGUAAAGUGCUGUCGAGGGGGACGAUUAUGACGGUACCCCGUGGAGGAAGCCCGGCUAACUACGUGCCAGCAGCCGC
rnacentral:rRNA from 1 species